rnacentral:rRNA from 1 species
GUAGCGGCGAGCGAACGGGGAGGAGCCCAGAGCCUGAAUCAGUGUGUGUGUUAGUGGAAGCGUCUGGAAAGGCGCGCGAUACAGGGUGACAGCCCCGUACACAAAAAUGCACAUGCUGUGAGCUCGAUGAGUAGGGCGGGACACGUGGUAUCCUGUCUGAAUAUGGGGGGACCAUCCUCCAAGGCUAAAUACUCCUGACUGACCGAUAGUGAACCAGUACCGUGAGGGAAAGGCGAAAAGAACCCCGGCGAGGGGAGUGAAAAAGAACCUGAAACCGUGUACGUACAAGCAGUGGGAGCACGCUUAGGCGUGUGACUGCGUACCUUUUGUAUAAUGGGUCAGCGACUUAUAUUCUGUAGCAAGGUUAACCGAAUAGGGGAGCCGAAGGGAAACCGAGUCUUAACUGGGCGUUAAGUUGCAGGGUAUAGACCCGAAACCCGGUGAUCUAGCCAUGGGCAGGUUGAAGGUUGGGUAACACUAACUGGAGGACCGAACCGACUAAUGUUGAAAAAUUAGCGGAUGACUUGUGGCUGGGGGUGAAAGGCCAAUCAAACCGGGAGAUAGCUGGUUCUCCCCGAAAGCUAUUUAGGUAGCGCCUCGUGAAUUCAUCUCCGGGGGUAGAGCACUGUUUCGGCAAGGGGGUCAUCCCGACUUACCAACCCGAUGCAAACUGCGAAUACCGGAGAAUGUUAUCACGGGAGACACACGGCGGGUGCUAACGUCCGUCGUGAAGAGGGAAACAACCCAGACCGCCAGCUAAGGUCCCAAAGUCAUGGUUAAGUGGGAAACGAUGUGGGAAGGCCCAGACAGCCAGGAUGUUGGCUUAGAAGCAGCCAUCAUUUAAAGAAAGCGUAAUAGCUCACUGGUCGAGUCGGCCUGCGCGGAAGAUGUAACGGGGCUAAACCAUGCAC